rnacentral:rRNA from 1 species
CUGAGUACGGCGGAACACGUGAAAUUCCGUCGGAAUCCGGGAGGACCAUCUCCCAAGGCUAAAUACUCCCUAGUGACCGAUAGUGAACCAGUACCGUGAGGGAAAGGUGAAAAGCACCCCGGAAGGGGAGUGAAACAGUUCCUGAAACCGUGUGCCUACAAGUAGUUAGAGCCCGUUAAUGGGUGAUAGCGUGCCUUUUGUAGAAUGAACCGGCGAGUUACGAUUUGUUGCAAGGUUAAGCGGAAAAAGCGGAGCCGUAGCGAAAGCGAGUCUGAAUAGGGCGCAUAAGUAACAGGUCGUAGACCCGAAACCAGGUGAUCUACCCAUGUCCAGGAUGAAGGUAAGGUAAUACUUACUGGAGGUCCGAACCCACGCACGUUGAAAAGUGCGGGGAUGAGGUGUGGGUAGCGGAGAAAUUCCAAUCGAACUUGGAGAUAGCUGGUUCUCUCCGAAAUAGCUUUAGGGCUAGCCUCGAGGUAAAGAGUCAUGGAGGUAGAGCACUGUUUGGACUAGGGGCCCUUCUCGGGUUACCGAAUUCAGAUAAACUCCGAAUGCCAUGUACUUAUACUCGGGAGUCAGACUGCGAGUGAUAAGAUCCGUAGUCGAAAGGGAAACAGCCCAGACCACCAGUUAAGGUCCCCAAAUAUAUGUUAAGUGGAAAAGGAUGUGGGGUUGCUUAGACAACCAGGAUGUUGGCUUAGAAGCAGCCACCAUUGAAAGAGUGCGUAAUAGCUCACUGGUCGAGUGACCCCGCGCCGAAAAUGUACCGGGGCUAAACAUAUUACCGAAACUGUGGAUGAACCUCUUUAGAGGUUCGUGGUAGGAGAGCGUUCUAAGGGCGGUGAAGUCAGACCGGAAGGACUGGUGGAGCGCUUAGAAGUGAGAAUGCCGGUAUGAGUAGCGAAAGAAGGGUGAGAAUCCCUUCCACCGAAUAUCUAAGGUUUCCUGAGGAAGGCUCGUCCGCUCAGGGUUAGUCGGGACCUAAGCCGAGGCCGAUAGGCGUAGGCGAUGGACAACAGGUAGAGAUUCCUGUACCAGUGCUAAUUGUUUAACCGAUGGGGUGACACAGAAGGAUAGGGAAUCGCACGAAUGGAAAUGUGCGUCCAAGCAGUGAGUGUGAGAAGUAGGCAAAUCCGCUUCUCGCGAAGCAUGAGCUGUGAUGGGGAAGGAAAUUAAGUACGGAAGUUCCUGAUUUCACGCUGUCAAGAAAAGCCUCUAGGAAGAGUAGUACUGCCCGUACCGCAAACCGACACAGGUAGAUGAGGAGAGAAUCCUAAGGUGAGCGAGAGAACUCUCGUUAAGGAACUCGGCAAAAUGACCCCGUAACUUCGGGAGAAGGGGUGCUCUAUUAGGGUGCAAGCCCGAGAGAGCCGCAGUGAAUAGGCCCAGGCGACUGUUUAGCAAAAACACAGGUCUCUGCAAAACCGUAAGGUGACGUAUAGGGGCUGACGCCUGCCCGGUGCUGGAAGGUUAAGAGGAGUGCUUAGCUUCGGCGAAGGUACGAAUUGAAGCCCCAGUAAACGGCGGCCGUAACUAUAACGGUCCUAAGGUAGCGAAAUUCCUUGUCGGGUAAGUUCCGACCCGCACGAAAGGCGCAACGAUCUGGGCACUGUCUCAACGAGAGACUCGGUGAAAUUAUAGUACCUGUGAAGAUGCAGGUUACCCGCGACAGGACGGAAAGACCCCGUGGAGCUUUACUGCAACCUGAUAUGGAAUGUUUGUACCGCUUGUACAGGAUAGGUAGGAGCCGAAGAGACGUGUGCGCUAGCAUACGAGGAGGCAAUGGUGGGAUACUACCCUGGCUGUAUGACCAUUCUAACCCGCCACGCUUAGCGCGUGGGGAGACAGUGUCAGGUGGGCAGUUUGACUGGGGCGGUCGCCUCCUAAAGAGUAACGGAGGCGCCCAAAGGUUCCCUCAGAAUGGAUGGAAAUCAUUCGCAGAGUGUAAAGGCACAAGGGAGCUUGACUGCGAGACUGACAAGUCGAGCAGGGACGAAAGUCGGGCUUAGUGAUCCGGUGGUUCCGCAUGGAAGGGCCAUCGCUCAACGGAUAAAAGCUACCCCGGGGAUAACAGGCUUAUCUCCCCCAAGAGUCCACAUCGACGGGGAGGUUUGGCACCUCGAUGUCGGCUCGUCGCAUCCUGGGGCUGUAGUCGGUCCCAAGGGUUGGGCUGUUCGCCCAUUAAAGCGGCACGCGAGCUGGGUUCAGAACGUCGUGAGACAGUUCGGUCCCUAUCCGUCGCGGGCGCAGGAAAUUUGAGAGGAGCUGUCCUUAGUACGAGAGGACCGGGAUGGACACACCGCUGGUGUACCAGUUGUUCCGCCAGGAGCAUCGCUGGGUAGCUAUGUGUGGCAGGGAUAAACGCUGAAAGCAUCUAAGCGUGAAGCCCCCCUCAAGAUGAGAUUUCCCAUUU